rnacentral:rRNA from 1 species
UACAGAGGGGGCAAGCGUUGUUCGGAAUUAUUGGGCGUAAAGCGCGCGCAGGCGGUCCUUUAAGUCUGAUGUGAAAGCCCACGGCUCAACCGUGGAGGGUCAUUGGAAACUGGGGGACUUGAGUGCAGAAGAGGAUCGCGGAAUUCUCGGUGUAGCGGUGAAAUGCGUAGAGAUCGGGAGGAACACCAGAGGCGAAGGCGGCGACCUGGACAGGCACUGACACUCAACUACGAAAGCGUGGGGAGCAAACAGG